rnacentral:SRP_RNA from 1 species
GGCGGGUCUCCUUGCAUGAUGAUUUAGAACAACGGGUCAGGGGCGGAAGCCAGCAGCCCACUCUAAAAAGUCAGUGCCGAGGGUUUGGCUCGCCACC